GAUGAACGCUGGCGGCGUGCCUAAUACAUGCAAGUCGAGCGAACGGACGAGAAGCUUGCUUCUCUGAUGUUAGCGGCGGACGGGUGAGUAACACGUGGAUAACCUACCUAUAAGACUGGGAUAACUUCGGGAAACCGGAGCUAAUACCGGAUGAUAUUUUGAACCGCAUGGUUCAAAAGUGAAAGACGGUCUUGCUGUCACUUAUAGAUGGAUCCGCGCUGCAUUAGCUAGUUGGUAAGGUAACGGCUUACCAAGGCAACGAUGCAUAGCCGACCUGAGAGGGUGAUCGGCCACACUGGAACUGAGACACGGUCCAGACUCCUACGGGAGGCAGCAGUAGGGAAUCUUCCGCAAUGGGCGAAAGCCUGACGGAGCAACGCCGCGUGAGUGAUGAAGGUCUUCGGAUCGUAAAACUCUGUUAUUAGGGAAGAACAUAUGUGUAAGUAACUGUGCACAUCUUGACGGUACCUAAUCAGAAAGCCACGGCUAACUACGUGCCAGCAGCCGCGGUAAUACGUAGGUGGCAAGCGUUAUCCGGAAUUAUUGGGCGUAAAGCGCGCGUAGGCGGUUUUUUAAGUCUGAUGUGAAAGCCCACGGCUCAACCGUGGAGGGUCAUUGGAAACUGGAAAACUUGAGUGCAGAAGAGGAAAGUGGAAUUCCAUGUGUAGCGGUGAAAUGCGCAGAGAUAUGGAGGAACACCAGUGGCGAAGGCGACUUUCUGGUCUGUAACUGACGCUGAUGUGCGAAAGCGUGGGGAUCAAACAGGAUUAGAUACCCUGGUAGUCCACGCCGUAAACGAUGAGUGCUAAGUGUUAGGGGGUUUCCGCCCCUUAGUGCUGCAGCUAACGCAUUAAGCACUCCGCCUGGGGAGUACGACCGCAAGGUUGAAACUCAGAGGAAUUGACGGGGACCCGCACAAGCGGUGGAGCAUGUGGUUUAAUUCGAAGCAACGCGAAGAACCUUACCAAAUCUUGACAUCCUUUGACAACUCUAGAGAUAGAGCCUUCCCCUUCGGGGGACAAAGUGACAGGUGGUGCAUGGUUGUCGUCAGCUCGUGUCGUGAGAUGUUGGGUUAAGUCCCGCAACGAGCGCAACCCUUAAGCUUAGUUGCCAUCAUUAAGUUGGGCACUCUAAGUUGACUGCCGGUGACAAACCGGAGGAAGGUGGGGAUGACGUCAAAUCAUCAUGCCCCUUAUGAUUUGGGCUACACACGUGCUACAAUGGACAAUACAAAGGGCAGCGAAACCGCGAGGUCAAGCAAAUCCCAUAAAGUUGUUCUCAGUUCGGAUUGUAGUCUGCAACUCGACUACAUGAAGCUGGAAUCGCUAGUAAUCGUAGAUCAGCAUGCUACGGUGAAUACGUUCCCGGGUCU
rnacentral:rRNA from 1 species